rnacentral:rRNA from 1 species
UACGGAGGGUGCAAGCGUUGUUCGGAAUCACUGGGCGUAAAGCGCGUGUAGGCGGCCAUCUAAGUCUGGUGUGAAAGCCCUGGGCUCAACCCAGGAAGUGCACUGGAUACUGGAUGGCUGGAGUACCGGAGAGGAGGGUGGAAUUCCUGGUGUAGCGGUGAAAUGCGUAGAUAUCAGGAGGAACACCGGUGGCGAAGGCGUCCCUCUGGCCGGAUACUGACGCUGAGACGCGAAAGCGUGGGGAGCAAACAGG